AGAAUAGUUUAUCUUCUGCUAAUCUUUUCUUCAAAAUUAAUCCGUAAGACUACAGCAAUUUUGUGUCUUAUUCUAAUGCAAAAUAAAGAACUGAAGUCUGAAAAUAGAAUUUAAUUAAAUCUGAUAGAAAUUCAUCAGGACAAACACACAUUUUAAUAGUUGGUUUUUUUUUCUCCUCAUGUUUUCCUAAAGAAAAAAAGCUCAUGCGAUCAUUCUGUCUGCAUAUCCAUCAGUCUUUCUGCACGUUCUCUCAGUACAGUUUCAUUCCCGUCGACACUUCAGCCCAGUUUGGCAGAGAGGUGGAGGACUGCCCAUGUGGGAAGGUGCAGCAGCUUAUGUGGUAAGUAUUGGCAGUAAUGGAUAUAUCUUCCUGUGAGCUACAAAAUCUUGCCACAUUCACCUUGGCUC
rnacentral:lncRNA from 1 species